GAGGUCUUAGCUUAAUUAAAGUGUCUGGUUUGCAUUCAGAAGAUACAGGUUAAUAUCCUGUUGACCUUA
rnacentral:tRNA from 1 species